rnacentral:rRNA from 1 species
GCCGACCUGAGAGGGUGAUCGGCCACAUUGGAACUGAGACACGGUCCAAACUCCUACGGGAGGCAGCAGGGGGGAAUAUUGCACAAUGGGCGAAAGCCUGAUGCAGCAACGCCGCGUGAGUGAUGAAGGCCUUCGGGUCGUAAAACUCUGUCCUCAAGGAAGAUAAUGACGGUACUUGAGGAGGAAGCCCCGGCUAACUACG